GGAAGGUUACGUUUCUCCUCUUCUUAGCAAGAGGCUGUAAGCCUUGAAUUAAUGAGUUGCCAACAAAUAUUUUCUCAUAUUAAUGACACUUCAUUAAUGUCUCUAAGAAAGACAAGACGAUCAAUUCAUCUGCACAUAUGUGCUUUUUCAGCCUAUGAAGUCAAUGAAAUUUUCGCUCACUCAUAACGUAUAUGUCUAAAUUCAAUUAAUUGCUGUCUCUAUUUAUCCCCUACAACCUUCUCUACGGAAAAGGUCAGUUUAAGCCAAACAUUGUCGUGCUAUCAAAAUAAAGGAAAAUAUAAAUACAAGGAUGGCUUGUAACCGGAUGAGGGCAUUGGAUCAUAUUUGUGUGUUUUUCUGCAUAUUAGCUGUGACAUUAGUAAAUUGUAAAACAUAUCCUCCAUCAAUAGAAUAUGGUUGUUUUUUGUUAUGUAUUGACUAUUUACAAGUGGAGAGAGGCUUAGUUCAUAUUCCUCAGGCGGAGUUAGAAAACAGAUGUAGAGAUGGAAUACCCGAAUUUGAUUGUGAGAUCAAGAGGUCGUAUGACAACCAUGAGAUUGAUGAUUGUCAUGAUCCUAAGCGAUUCCCAAGCGUUCACUCCCUAGUAAGAUAACUUCGCAUUUGGAAUUGUUUACGGGUAUAACUUUAUCCUUGUCAUUCAUCCUAUAAUAAUUUUACUCAUGAUACAUAUAAAUGGAAUACAAUGAAUGCUUUAUUAAACAUUG